rnacentral:pre_miRNA from 1 species
GCUCCGUUUCCUUUUGCCUGAUUCCAGGCUGAGGUAGUAGUUUGUACAGUUUGAGGGUCUAUGAUACCACCCGGUACAGGAGAUAACUGUACAGGCCACUGCCUUGCCAGGAACAGUGCGCCAGCUGCCAAAUGGGGC